AACAAUUCUUGCAUCGACAUGUUUUUGACAGCAUCAGGCAUCCUCAAGACAAAAGUCUGUUGAAGAAAAUAUCUUCACGCCUAGGACCAUAUCUCGGUGUCAUAUUUUUUUGUCCUCACCAAAUGGACGCUCCUACCUGGGUCUCAGGCGGGCCUGAGCCUCCUCAAAGUCAUUGUGGAGGAAGAGAUCCAGGGAGGCCAUGCAGUCCUCCAGAGCCAGCGACAGGUCUGAGGUCGAGCACCUAGUCGAACAAAAGCAAACACAGGAUGUGCCGUGGAGGCAUUGGAUGGAAGGUACCUGCUUGGGGAGUCCGGGCCAUCAGGGACACUUUCUGCCUUUGUGACAUUCCUGUGAAGAGGUUAAAGUUUGACUUUAUCUGAUGGAUCUUGGGAUUGUGAGAAGAUGGCAGAACGAAUGUGACGAAGGGCCAGACUGACACAUUACAGCCAUUUCAAGCAUCGGCACAAAUUGAUGUUUUUGUCACAUUAUUGGGAAGACAAGUCAACAGGAAGUGGCUGGGUCAUUGUGGUUUUUAUUGAGUGUGGCUUUUAAGAAGCAUUUUGAACACUUACCCCAUUCAGUUCUUAUUCAAAUAAACAGUGUUAAUUUUUCACACUUC